GCAAUCAUGUCAUCUGCGAAUAACGUUUUACUUCUUCCCUGGCAAUUUGGAUGUCUUUUCUUUCUUUUUCUUAUCUGACUGCACUGGGUAGAAAUUCCAGCGCAAUGCUGAAUAGAAGUGGUGAUGGUGGACAUCUUGCCUUGUUCCUGAUCUUAGAGAGAAAGGAUUCCGUUUUUCAGCAUUAAGUAUGAUUUCAGACGAGAUGGGUAUGUGCAGAGUGGUAUGGCUGUAGACCUGAUUUCAGAUAUUCAUUUUACAAAGAUGCUCUUUGUCAGAUUGAAGAAGUUCCCUUCUAUUCCCAGUUUGUUGUUGUUUUUUAAUCAGCAAUGCAUUUUGGAUUUUGUUGAAUGCUUUUUCUGCAUCAACUGAGUUGGUCAUAUGGUUUCCCUUUUGUACUCUGUUAACAUGGUAAAUGAUGCUGAUUUUCAAAUGUUGAACGAAUCUUGCAUUCCUGGGACAAAUUCCAUUUGUUCAUUGUAUUUUAUCCUUUUUAGAAUGUUGUUGGAAUCAAUUUGGUUCCAAAAUUUUGUUAAGAAUUUUGCAACUACGUUCAUGAGGGAUAUUUGGCUGUAAUAUUUUUUUUGCAAUGUAUUUGUCUGGUUUCAGUAUCAGAAUAAUACCAGUGUCAUGAAAUGAGUUAAGAAGUAUUCCCUCCUCAUCAAUUUUAUGGAGUAAUUUGUAUGAAACUGGUAUUAUGACUUUCUAAAAUGUUUGGUAGAAUUCAUCAGGGAAAUCAUUUGGAUCCAGAGUUUUCUUUGGGGGAAUUCAAUUUCUUUAAUAGAUAUAUGCUUACUCAGGUUAUUAGUUUCUUUUUAAGUGAGCUUUGCUAUUUUGCGUCUUUCAAGGAAUUUUCCCAUUUCAUCUAAGUGCCUAAUGUAUUGGCAUAAAGUAAAUCAUAUAAUUCUCUUAUUUAUCAUUUUAAUAACUAUUGGAUUUGCAGCUUUACCAACUCUUGCAUUCCUGAUAUUGGUAACUUGUGUCUUCUUUUUUUCCUGUUCCACCAGGCUAUUAUUAAUUUUAUUGGUCUUCUCAAACAACCAGCUUUUGAUUUCAUUGACUUUCUCUAUUAUUUCCCUGUUUUCUGUCUUAGUGGUUUUUGGCUUUUACUUUUAACUCAUUUCUUCUGCUUACUUUGUUUCUCCUUUUUUAGUUCCUUAAGGUAGAAGCUGAGGACACUGGUUUGCAACUUUUCUUCUCUAAUAUAGGCAUUUAGUGCUAUAAAUUUUCCGCUGAGCACUUGCAUUAGCUGUAUCCCACAAAUUUCAUGUUGUGUUUUCAUUUUCAAUCAGUAGAAAAUAUGUUCUAAAUUCAUCUUUGACUUUUUUUUCUUUGACCCAUGAGUUACUUUAAAGUGUGAUAGUUUCUAACUAUUUAGGGGAUUUCCAGAUAUCUUUGCUAUUGAUUUUUUAUUUAGUUCCCUUUUGGUCAAAUGACAUACUUUUUAUAAGUGAUUUUAAGUUUAUUGACAUUAUUUUCUGGACCAAAAUGUGGUCCAUAUUAGUAAAUGUUCUGUGUGCAAUUAAACAGAAUGUACCUUCUGUUGUAAUGGGUAGAAUGUCAUACAAAUGUCAAUUACGUCAUUGGUUGAUGGUGUUGUUAGAUCUUCUAAAUUAUUACUGACUUUUUUUGUCAACUUGUUCUAUAAAUUAUUGAGAGAGAUCCAACUAUAAUUGUGGAUCUGUUUCUCCUUUCAGUUCCAUCAGUUUCUGAUUCAUGCAUUUGAAGCUCCGUUAUUAGGUGCAUAAAUAUUUAGAACUAUUAAUUCCACUUGAUGAAUUGACUACUUUAUCAUUAUGAAAUGACUCUCUUUAUUCCUGAUAAUAAUCUUUGUUCUAAAAUCUACUUUGUCUAAAAUUAAUAUAGUUAUUCCAACUUUCUUUAUUAGUAUUAGCAUGGAAUAUUCUUUUCCAACCUUUCACUUUUAGCCUAUUUGUACGUCAAUAUGUAUACUAGGUUUCUUGUAGGCAGCAGUUGAGUCUUGCUUUUAUACCCAAUCUACUAAGUUCUGCCUUUUAAGUGGGUUUAGAUUUUUAUAUAGUUGAUGUGAUUGUUGCUAUAAUCUGGUAUACAUAUAACAUCUUGCUAUUUGUUUUCUGUUUGUCACAUCUGUUCUUUGUUCCCUUUUCCUUUUUUUUCUUAGAUCUCGGAGUUUACAAGUUUUAUCAAAUUUGGAAAUUUUUAGCCAUUUUAAAAAACAUUCUUGGCACUCCCCUCCUCUUCUCAAGACUACAAUUACAUAUAUAUUAGGCCACCUGAAAAUGCCUCACAGCUCAUUAAUGCUCUAUUCAUUUUUUCCUAAUUUUUAUUUCUCCUCUGAGUUUUAUUUUGGAUAGUUUGUAUUGCUAUGGCUUCAAGUUUACUGAUCUUUUCUCCUGCACUGUCUAAUUUGCUGUAAAUCCCAUAUAGUAUAUUUUUCAUCUCCCACAUUGUAGUUUUCAUCUCUAGAUGUCCAAUUUGGGUCUUUUAAAUAUAUUUCAUAUUUAUUUAACAUUCUCAGUCUUUCCUUUACUUUGGUGAAAAUAUGGAAUAUAGUCGUAAACUGUUUUAAUAUCUUUGUCUAUCAUCUCUAUCAUUUCUGGGUCUGUUUUUAUUUAUUUAUUUUCUUCCUCAUGUGUUGUAUCUGCAUGUUUCAUUCCAAGUCUGAUAUUUUGACUGGAGGCCAAAUGUGAAUUUUACCUUGAUGAGAUAUUUUCAUAUAAACAUAAAUAUUGAGCUUUGUUCUGGGAUGCAGUUAUUUGGAAAGAGUUUGAUCCUUUUGAGGCCUGUUUUUAAGGUUUGUGAGAAAGGAUCAGAGCAGUCUUUUGUUUAGAGCUUCAUUUGCCCCACUGCUGAGGCAAUAAUACCCUUCUAAAUACUCAACCCAAUAUCCUGUGACUUAUGAGGUUUUCUCUCUUUGUCUAGUGGGAACACAAACUAUUCUCAACCCUGAGAAAGAAUGGGGUGGGGGGGAUUCCCUCUAAUCCUUUUGGGUGGUUCUUUCUCAGCUUUGGGUGGUUUCCACACACCACAUGCACUUAGCAGUACUCAUCUGAAGACUCAUCUGUGCAGACCUCUGGAGUCUCGCCUUGUGCAGCUCUCUCUUCUCCAAACUCCAGUAGCCACCUUGGCCUCCACAACCCAAACUCUCCAGGUCCAUCCAUGUUGCCGCCAAUGGCAAACAGCAUGCAGAACGACACGCAGACACGAACGAACCAUCAGGACCCAUCCGGGGAACGGCCUGUCAUCCAAUUUGGCUAAAGCGGGAAGCACACAGAGGAUGCUAGAACAACAGGCAGAAGACUGGCUGUGAAGGACCUCGUGAGCCAAAAUAAAGCAUCUGAACUUUAUUCCAAAGGAAAUAGAGAACUGAAGCAUUUUAAAGAAAAGAAGUGACAAUCGGACUGACUUUAAAAAAAAUUACUCUAGCAAUACUCUUAACGGCUUCCAGUCUCAUACGGUAUAUAAAAUCCAACGUCCUUCUUAUGUUUAAAUCCUAUAGCCAAUCUGGCUAUGUCUGAAAUUAUAAUAUUUCCUAUUGCUCCUCUCACUCACCCUGCUUUGGCUACACAGGCCUUCUUGCUGCACCCUGCAAAAUGCCCCUCCUCGGGACUUUUGCACUUACCAUUCCCUCCUGCCUAGAACUCUUCCCUCAAAUGGCCAGGUUGCUCCCUCACUUCCUUUAGGUCUCUGUUCAAAUACUUUCGAUCAGAGAGGGCUUUCCUAUCACCCACUAUAAAAGAGCAAGAAAUGACAGCAAUCAGCCCUACCAUGUUUUCCCCUCCACUUACCACCUAGCACAUAUUUAUUUGCUUGCCUAUUGUCUGUCUCUCCUUACUUACUAGAAUGUAAGUUCCACAACGGAUCCUCUCGAUAAUCAUGAUACAGGAACCAUUACUGCCAUUUCCAGAUGGUAAAAUUAAGGGACAUAAUACUCUAGUGAACCAUGGAACCAGGUGGAAUGACUCCUGAGUCUGCACUCUUAACCGUUUCCCAUACUGACUCUCUAGUAGUGUCACAGGUCCCUGACUUUGAUUCUAGAUCACUUCCUGUGAACAGGCUCCAUAUUGACAAGUAUCAAGACAGUAAAAAUUCUAAACUUACAUUAUGUCCUCCUAAGGAGAUAUGGAUUAUUGUAAUUUGUUAUUAGUCAAGUUUCAAAAGCCAGGAAACAUCUUUUAAAUGAUCAAUUAAAAUACACAAAGUAUCUGGACUUUUAUCUAUCCAACAAUAAGCUGUAUUUUUUCUUGUUUAAGACCUAUAGAUAUUAAAACAAGAUGAAAAGUUUUAUCAAAGUAGAAGAAACAUAGUAUAUGACACCAAAACUAUUUUUCCAAGACUUUUUUCCAAAUAAAUAUUCAACUUCAGGAAUAAAAUUAACUCCAUCUUUAAAAUAACGUGUCAAAAUUUUCUGAGGUAUCACUACCAAAGGAAGAAAGAACAUGUUUUCCAGGUAGACACCAUGUUAUGAAGUAAAUAAGUAUACAGUAUCAUAUGUAGAGUAAAAGAAUGAAAGUGAUGUCUCAGUAACAUUUUCUCCUGAUUCUUUUCCUACUCCUCAGUUAUUAAGUUCAUCUUUCCCUGAUUCUUUCAUCCCAUCUCCCAUUACUGAGAGUACCCCUUUUCAAAAGGUAGUUCUCAAUCAACAGCUUUUCCCUAUCAAUCACUUCAUAUCAGAACUUGUCCACUUUUUUUUUUCAACUUUUAUUUUAAGUGUGUUUUUCCAAAACCCAUCAGC